UGGGGAAUAUUGGACAAUGGGGGGCAACCCUGAUCCAGCAAUGCCGCGUGUGUGAAGAAGGUCUUCGGAUUGUAAAGCACUUUCGACGGGGACGAUGAUGACGGUACCCGUAGAAGAAGCCCCGGCUAACUUCGUGCCAGCAGCCGCGGUAAUACGAAGGGGGCUAGCGUUGCUCGGAAUGACUGGGCGUAAAGGGCGUGUAGGCGGUUUACACAGUCNGAUGUGAAAUCCCCGGGCUUAACCUGGGAGCUGCAUUUGAUACGUGUAGACUAGAGUGUGAGAGAGGGGUUUGU
rnacentral:rRNA from 1 species